UAAGCCAAUCCCACAAAUCUGUUCUCAGUUCGGAUCGCAGUCUGCAACUCGACUGCGUGAAGCUGGAAUCGCUAGUAAUCGCGGAUCAGCAUGCCGCGGUGAAUACGUUCCCGGGCCUUGUACACACCGCCCGUCACACCACGAGAGUUUGUAACACCCGAAGUCGGUGAGGUAACCUUUUAGGAGCCAGCCGCCGAAGGUGGGACAGAUGAUUGGGGUGAAGUCGUAACAAGGUAGCC
rnacentral:rRNA from 1 species